CGUGGGAGGGUUGUAAGUCCUCGUGCCCUUGUAGUGAAUGGAACUGAAGGCUUCAGGGAAGCGGCCCAGCUUCCGGAACCGGUCCUGGAUAAGCUUCUCUGGCACCUCUGAGGGGUGAUCUGGACAAGCAGAAACAGUGCUUAACACACAGCAGCAUUCAAUAAACGGUGAUGGGCUCACUGAUCUCCCAGAUAACCAAGAGGGAACAAGGAGUUACAGAGAACAGCCCAUUUUGGACCAGUGUCACUCAGCCUGGUUCCAAGCUGCUCAGUUGGCCAACAAGAGGAACAAAACAAAAGCUCCAUAAACCUCUACCAGCAAGGAGUCAGAUAAGGUCAAGAGUAGCCGGCUGCAAGAGCCAUCCACCUUCUCAAACAGUCCUCAGGAGGAAGAUGAGGCCUGGAGAUUUUCUCCCCUGGAAAUCUACUCUGUCAUGAAUCCGUUAGCCCACAAAACAACUGCUAUCCAGGAUAUGUAACAGCAAGCACAAUUAAAUGUCUCAGGACUCAUAUUGAUUAAGUGCCCACCAAAUGAUGUACAUAAUAUAUAUAAACAACUUGUUUGAGAUGAAAAUAAAACGCUCCCUGUUAGCAUGUGGGGAUAUCGUUUUGGCACCUGGUGACCUGGGGUAUGUUAAACACACACGUUCAUGUGUUGGGCAUACGCAUCUGAGGCCACUGCAAAGAAUUCUGGGAGGAGGAGCUCAAAGCCCUAGGUUGGUUUUUCUACUGACGAGCCCUGGACAAUCAUAAAACAUGUACUGACUAUGUUUUUUCACGUGUAAAAUGACGAUAUAACCAUCCUGGCCUCCCCUGACUAGGCAGUGGUCGCUAAUUAAAUAAAUAGAUAAAUAAGAAAAU